CUUCCCCUAGUAACUGCGAGUGAAGCGGGAAAAGCUCAAAUUUAAAAUCUGGCGGUUAUGCCGUCCGAGUUGUAAUCUGGAGAAGCGUUUUCCGUGUUGGACCGUGUACAAGUCUCUUGGAACAGAGCGUCAUAGAGGGUGAGAAUCCCGUCUUUGACACGGACUACCAAUGCUUUGUGAUACGCUCUCAAAGAGUCGAGUUGUUUGGGAAUGCAGCUCAAAAUGGGUGGUAAAUGCCAUCUAAAGCUAAAUAUUGGCGAGAGACCGAUAGCGAACAAGUACCGUGAGGGAAAGAUGAAAAGCACUUUGGAAAGAGAGUUAAACAGUACGUGAAAUUGUUGAAAGGGAAACGCUUGAAGUCAGUCGCGUUGUCUGGGACUCAGCCUUGCUUCUGCAUGGUGUAUUUCCUGGUUAACGGGCCAACAUCGAUUUUGGUCGGUGGAUAAAGUCAGGAGGAAUGUGGCACCCUCGGGUGUGUUAUAGCCUCUUGUCGCAUGCAUCGACCGGGAUCGAGGAUCGCAGCACGCCUUUUUGGCCGGGGUUCGCCCACGUAACGUGCUUAGGAUGUUGGCAUAAUGGCUUUAAUCGACCCGUCUUGAAACACGGACCAAGGAGUCUAACAUGCCCGCGAGUGUUAGGGUGGAAAACCCUUGCGCGUAAUGAAAGUGAAAGUUGGGACCUCUGUCAUGGGGGGCACCGACGCCCGGCCCUGAGCUUUUGUGACGGCGCCGCGGUAGAGCGUGUAUGUUGGGACCCGAAAGAUGGUGAACUAUGCCUGAAUAGGGCGAAGCCAGAGGAAACUCUGGUGGAGGCUCGUAGCGAUUCUGACGUGCAAAUCGAUCGUCAAAUUUGGGUAUAU
rnacentral:rRNA from 1 species